CAUCCUCCAAGGCUAAAUACUCCUGACUGACCGAUAGUGAACCAGUACCGUGAGGGAAAGGCGAAAAGAACCCCGGCGAGGGGAGUGAAAAAGAACCUGAAACCGUGUACGUACAAGCAGUGGGAGCACAGGUUUACCUGUGUGACUGCGUACCUUUUGUAUAAUGGGUCAGCGACUUAUAUUCUGUAGCAAGGUUAACCGUAUAGGGGAGCCGUAGGGAAACCGAGUCUUAACCGGGCGUUAAGUUGCAGGGUAUAGACCCGAAACCCGGUGAUCUAGCCAUGGGCAGGUUGAAGGUUGGGUAACACUAACUGGAGGACCGAACCGACUAAUGUUGAAAAAUUAGCGGAUGACCUGUGGCUGGGGGUGAAAGGCCAAUCAAACCGGGAGAUAGCUGGUUCUCCCCGAAAGCUAUUUAGGUAGCGCCUCGUGAAUUCAUCUCCGGGGGUAGAGCACUGUUUCGGCUAGGGGGCCAUCCCGGCUUACCAACCCGAUGCAAACUGCGAAUACCGGAGAAUGUUAUCACGGGAGACACACGGCGGGUGCUAACGUCCGUCGUGAAGAGGGAAACAACCCAGACCGCCAGCUAAGGUCCCAAAGUCAUGGUUAAGUGGGAAACGAUGUGGGAAGGCCCAGACAGCCAGGAUGUUGGCUUAGAAGCAGCCAUCAUUUAAAGAAAGCGUAAUAGCUCACUGGUCGAGUCGGCCUGCGCGGAAGAUGUAACGGGGCUAAACCAUGCACCGAAGCUGCGGCAGCGAACGUAUCACCCAAGACAACUUUACGGAGUUGACGAUUGACGGAGCGAAGCGACGUCAAAGCGUAUACAAAGUCGAGUCGGUUUAAGGAUACGUUCGUUGGGUAGGGGAGCGUUCUGUAAGCCCGUGAAGGUGGCCUGUGAGGGUUGCUGGAGGUAUCAGAAGUGCGAAUGCUGACAUAAGUAACGAUAAAGCGGGUGAAAAGCCCGCUCGCCGGAAGACCAAGGGUUCCUGUCCAACGUUAAUCGGGGCAGGGUGAGUCGACCCCUAAGGC
rnacentral:rRNA from 1 species